UUUAAUGUAAGUUUGAUUGAACCAAUAAUUAUUCAUUCACUGAUCUUGUUAGAGUAUGCUUCCUUAUGUGAGAAGACCCUAUAGACUGAAACCUUUCAUACUUCCAAUCUUUAUGCUGAUAUUAAUCUUCACUUGUCAUUAAUUACAAGUUUUCUCCUACUGUAAACUUUGGUCUUUGUCAGGUAUAUAUUUCAAUAAUUUUUUUCUAAUCACACUUGACACGUUAUUUUGGUCAUGCAUUUAGUUAGAUGUGAAGAUCUUUGUAACUUAUUUUGUUGAUCUGAUCGUUCUUGUGACUUUUUUCGAUUGCUUUUUGACCCUCGACUUCUUUUUCCCUUUGCUGGAACGUAACCUACUAAGCGUUUUAAUUAUACUAACAACUCUUUUUGCUCCUUUACAGGAUCAUAAAAUUGAAGACAUACAAAUCUCUAAGCGCAUAUAAAACAAUUCUGACUAAAUCUUAAANACUACAAAAUCUACACCUAAGGUAAGUGUACCAUGACCAAAUAUUUUCCUAACUAGUUGGUAUUGUCUAUACGGAUUUUAAGGGAUUGUAAGUUGUUCAAUACGACUUCCUUCCUCUUGAUGUUAGGUCUACCUUGUCAGAGCCGUACACAUGAAUUUUUUAUAAGCGGCAUCACAUUUAAAAAAGUGAGAAAUGAGAUUCUCGACAUUGCUACAACCUUGGUUCAUCCGCCCGGGUAUAAACCUUAUACUUAAAAAUACCCCCCCCCCCCCCAAUUAAUGAAAUUUUUUAUAAGCGGCGUCACAUUUAAAAAAGUGAGAAAUGACAUUCUCGACAUUGCUUCAACCUUGGUUCAUCCGCCCGGGUGUAAACCUUAUACUUAAAAACACCCCCCCCCCCCCCAAAUUAAUGCAUUCAUCUUGAAUCAAGUAACAAUAAAAGAAAAAGUCACAUAUUUCGUUACACUAUACUCCAAUAUAUUAUACUUAACAAAUCUUAGAUCAAAGCAACAAAUUUAUCAUAUAUUUUAUGUAAGAACAGUUGUAAUUUCAAGGUUGGAUAAGAUUUUUUUGAAGANUAUGCAUUUAAAUUAUGCUCUUCUUAUUUCAUCAUGGUUGUUUGAAUAAUAUUUUUGAGUUGCCAAUCUUUUUCCAGGGUCAACCUUUAAUGAAUUUAAAUUAAC
rnacentral:lncRNA from 1 species